UGGGGAAUAUUGGGCAAUGGGCGCAAGCCUGACCCAGCAACGCCGCGUGAGGGAAGAAGGUCUUCGGAUUGUAAACCUCUGUCCUUGGGGACGAAAAAAAUGACGGUACCCAAGGAGGAAGCUCCGGCUAACUACGUGCCAGCAGCCGCGGUAAUACGUAGGGAGCGAGCGUUGUCCGGAAUUACUGGGCGUAAAGGGUGCGUAGGCGGCGCUGCAAGUCAGAUGUGAAAUCCCCGGGNUUAACCCGGGGGUGCAUUUGAAACUGCAGUGCUUGAGUGCAGGAGAGGAAAGCGGAAUUCCGUAGUGUAGCGGUGAAAUGCGUAGAUAUUAGGAAGAACACCAGUGGCGAAGGCGGCUUUCUGGACUGUUACUGACGCUGAGGCACGAAAGCGUGGGGAG
rnacentral:rRNA from 1 species